rnacentral:rRNA from 1 species
ACGGGGCGCAGCAGGCGCGAAAACUCCGCAAUGCGCGCAAGCGUGACGGGGGAAUCCCAAGUGCCGUUGGUCUUAUGAUCGACGGUUUUUAGGAAGUCUAAGAAGCUUCCAGAAUAAGGGCUGGGCAAGACUGGUGCCAGCCGCCGCGGUAACACCAGCAGCCCAAGUGGUGACCACGAUUAUUGGGCCUAAAGCGCUCGUAGCCGGAUCAGCAAGUCCCUUGUGAAAUCGGGCCGCCUAACGGUUCGGCGUGCAAGGGAUACUGUUGGUCUUGAGGCCGGGAGAGGUCGGAGGUACUCCUGGGGUAGCGGUGAAAUGCUCUAAUCCUAGGGGGACCACCAGUGGCGAAGGCGUCCGACCAGAACGGACCUGACGGUGAGGGGCGAAGGCUAGGGGAGCGAACGGGAUUAGAUACCCCGGUAGUCCUAGCUGUAAAGCAUGCGGGCCAGAUGUCUAGCGCUCCUUGAGGGCGCUAGGUGCCGGAGGGAAGCCGUUAAGCCCGCCGCCUGGGAAGUACGGCCGCAAGGCUGAAACUUAAAGAAAUUGGCGGGGGAGCACCACAAGAGGUGGGACCUGCGGUUCAAUUGGAUUCAACGCCGGAAAACUCACCAGGGGCGACAGCUGGUUGACGGCCAGAUUGACGAUCUUGCCCGACUAGCUGAGAGGUGGUGCAUGGCCAUCGUCAGCUCGUACCGUGGGGCGUCCUGUUAAGUCAGGCAACGAGCGAGAUCCUCGCCCUUAGUUGCCAUCGGUGGAAAGCCGGGCACUCUAGGGGGACCGCUGGCGCUAAGUCAA